rnacentral:rRNA from 1 species
AUGAACGCUGGCGGCGUGCCUAAUACAUGCAAGUCGAGCGAACGGACGAGAAGCUUGCUUCUCUGAUGUUAGCGGCGGACGGGUGAGUAACACGUGGAUAACCUACCUAUAAGACUGGGAUAACUUCGGGAAACCGUAGCUAAUACCGGAUAAUAUUUUGAACCGCAUGGUUCAAAAGCGAAAGACGGUCUUGCUGUCACUUAUAGAUGGAUCCGCGCUGCAUUAGCUAGUUGGUAAGGUAACGGCUUACCAAGGCAACGAUGCAUAGCCGACCUGAGAGGGUGAUCGGCCACACUGGAACUGAGACACGGUCCAGACUCCUACGGGAGGCAGCAGUAGGGAAUCUUCCGCAAUGGGCGAAAGCCUGACGGAGCAACGCCGCGUGAGUGAUGAAGGUCUUCGGAUCGUAAAACUCUGUUAUUAGGGAAGAACAUAUGUGUAAGUAACUGUGCACAUCUUGACGGUACCUAAUCAGAAAGCCACGGCUAACUACGUG